GCCGUAGCUCAGUGGUUGAGCAUCUGCUGUGCAUGCAGAAGGCCCCGGGUUCAAUCCCUGGCAUUUACA